UGUGCGUGUGUGUGGUCGAUCGCACAAGGCAGAGGGAAAGGGGUAAACCCUAAUUCUCAAGAAAUCUCCAAAUUGAAAAGGGAAUUGAAGGAUUUUAGGAUGCAUGUAUCAAGAUUAUCGAUCUCCUAAGUGUUCUUCACUAUCAAGAACGUGUCAAGGAGAGGUCAAGCAUAGGAGGAUAACGGGUCAAGAUAAGGCAAGGUGACAAAUACACUUAAUGGAGUACUCGAGGUAAGUGAAUUUCGAUUCACUUUUUAGUAGGUUUAAUAGAUUUUAAUACUUAUGUUUACGAAACAUCAUGAAAGAACAUGUAAUAAUCAGAAGUACAAAGCCAAUAAUGCCUCAUUAUUGAGGAAGGUUGUAUUAAGCCGAAAGUAAAUUGGUGGGUUUAAACGGGUCGAAUUUUAUGU
rnacentral:lncRNA from 1 species